rnacentral:tRNA from 1 species
CGGGGUGUCGUAUAGUGGCAGUACGCAGGGUUCGGGACUCUGUAGUCUGGGUUCGAUUCCCAGCACCCCGA